AGUCACGCACACCUGAUUCGAAUCUGCUUUUUACCUGGGAAAAGCAUUCACCCCCUGGCACUGAGAUGGCAUGUGGUGGUGGGUUUUACCUCUCAUCCAAAACAACCGGAAAAAAAACAAAAACCAAAAAAUAUAUAUGAACCACAGCUUUCAAGUGUCCUAAUGUUAGACAGCAAGGAACUGUGAUCCCAGAGAGAUGGGAAACAAAACAGUGAGCCCUCUGACUGUCCCAGCUUACAUCCUUCGGAGUCUCUAGGCCACAGUGUGUGGAGGGGUCCAGGCAGAGCCCCCAUGGGCUCCCUGAGUUGAGGACAUGCUGAGUCCAGGAAGGCCAAGGCAACUAGGGUUCACAGGACAGAGUGCCAAUGAGGAGAGGACCACACCCAGAGAGAAGUCCAAAGAUCUACAGAGGGUCCCCCUCAGAAUCCGAGCUCCCUAUGGGAUGUGCAUAUGAGGAAACUGCCCAAGGCCAUGGAAAGAAGGAGCUGAGAGGCCUCAGGGGAACAGAGUACAGCACUCAUACAGAGUUGGGGAUGCUGCCUCUCCCUACCGGCCAGCCUGGAAACCCUCGUAAUUCACAGCACAUUGUGGAGAGUAGCCGAAAAGGUCUUGCAUCAGUAGUGGCAAAUAAUUAUCUCUAGACUAAAAGCUGCUCUGCUUCCACCUAACAAAUCCUAAAGCAAAGUCCAAAAGGGUCAAACUAUUUCCAAGUAACUUAAUUGUGUCCCAGAGCAAAGCUCGAGAAAAUUUAUAGAAAUACAAAAAUAUCUGACAGCCAACACGAUGAAAUUCACAACGUCUGACACUCGAUCAGAUAUUACCGGGCAUGCAAAGGCAGGAAAAUACAACCUAUAAUAAGAAAAAUGAUCAAUCCAUUGAAACCAACCCAGAACUAACACAUGUGAGAAAUAGCCAGCAAGAACAUUAAAACAGUUAUAACUAAAUCCCAUAUGUUCAAAGUAUGGACAUGAAAUAUAUUUUAAAGAAACCCAAAUUGAGCUUCUAGAGAUAAAAUCUACAAAGUCUGAAAUGAAAAAUAUGUUGGAAGGGAUUAACAGCAAGUUAAACAUUGCAGAGGAAAAGAUCAGUUAACUGGAAGAAAUAGUAAUGAAACAGAGAGAACAAAGAAUUUUUGAAACGGAGAGUAUCAGUGAGCCAUGAGACAACUUUCAAGUGGCCUCACAUAUGUGUAUUUGGAGUUUUUGAAGAGAGGGGAGGAGUGGAAAAAAUCUUUGAGCAAAUGAUGGCCACGUCUUUUCCAAAUUUGAUGAAAACUAUAAAACCACAGAUCUGACCAACUCAACGAAUCCCAGUGCCAAGAAACAUGAAGAAAACUACACCAAAAUCACUCAAAGUCAGUGAUAAGAUAAAAUCUUCAGAGCAUCUGGAGAAAAGUAACUCAUUACAUACAGAGAAACAAAGAUAAAGAUGACAGUAGAUUCUCAUCAGCAACAAAUCUAUGUGAGAGGACAGUGAGGCACAUCCUCACAUCCUGAAAGAAGAAAAAACUGUCAAUCAACAAUUGUAUACCCAGUGAAAAUAUCCUCCAAAAAAAUAAAAACUUUUUCAGACACGUAAAAGCCAAAGCUCCAGUGGAUCCAUCAGCAGACCUGUAUUGCAAGAGAUAAUAAAGAAAGUCCUUUAGGCAAAAGGAAAAUGACACCAGAUGGAAAUACAAAUCCACGCAAAAGGAAUGAAGACCAUCAGAAAUGAUAACUACACUGGUAAAUAUAUGAUUGCUUUCUUAUUAUUUAAAUGUAUUUAAAAGAUAACUGGCUGCUGGGGCGCCUGGGUGGCGCAGUCGGUUGAGCGUCCGACUUCAGCCAGGUCACGAUCUCGCGGUCCGUGAGUUCGAGCCCCGCGUCGGGCUCUGGGCUGAUGGCUCGGAGCCUGGAGCCUGUUUCCGGUUCUGUGUCUCCCUCUCUCUCUGCCCCUCCCCCAUUCGUGCUCUGUCCCAAAAAUAAAUAAACGUUGAAAAAAAAAUUAAAAAAAAAUAAUAAAAAAAAAUAAAAGAUAACUGGCUGCUUAAAUGAUAAGAAUGUAGUAUGUUUUUUAUAACAUGUAUAAAAGUAAUCACAUUAAAGCUAAGAGAGGAGAAAUGGAAGAUUACUUAAAGGUCCCUAACUACAUAUGAAGCGUUAUAUGCCCUGAAGAUAAAUAGUGAUAAGUUAAAGAUGUACACUAUAAACCCUACAGCAACUACUAAAAUAUCAAAACAAAAAGUUAUAGCUAACAAUCCAACCAAGGAUAUAAACGGAAUCACAAAAUAUAUUUAAUGAGUCUAAUAGAAGGCAGGAAAUUAGGGAAAAGGGAAAAGAGAAAAAAUGGGGCCAAAGGAACACAUAUAGUAAGAUGAUAGACUUAAAUCUAACAUGUCAAUAAUUGGUUUAGGCACCACAAUUAAAAGGUAGUUUGUCAGACUGACUAAAAAAGCAAGUCCCAGCUAUAUACUGGUUACAAAAAAAAAUUUUUAACUAUAAAGGUACAAACAGAGGAAAGGGAUAUAAACAUAUAUAUCGUACUCACACUAAUCAAAAGAAAGUUGAAAUUGCCAUACUAAUAUCAGACAAAGUAGAUUUCAGAGCCAAUAAUAUCAUCAGGGAUAAAGAAGGUCAUUUCAUAAUGGUGAAAGUGUCAAUUCCUCAAAAAGACAUAACAAUCCUAAAUAUGUAUGCAACUAAUGGAAAACUUCAUAAAUACAUAAAGUAAAAACUGAUAGAACCACAAAGAAAGAUAUACAAGUUCACAAUUAUAGUUGGGGAUUUCAAAAGCCCUUUCAAUAAUUAAUGAGACGACUAGACAGAAAACCGGCAAGGGUGUAGAAGAUUUGACAACGUUCUAAACCAAGUUAACUUAAUGGACAUUUAUGCAGCACUCCCAGAAAAAAUGGCAAAAGUACACACAGAACAUUUGCCAAGAUAGACCACAUUCUGGGCCAUAAAGCAAAUUUCAAUAACGUUAAAAGGAUUCAAGUCAUACAAAGUAUGUUCUUUGAUCACAAUGGAAUUAAAUUAGAAAUCAAUAACAAAAGAUACAUGAAAAAAAUCCACAUACUUAGAAGCUAAAUAAUACACUUCUAAAUAAUCCAUGAGUAAAAGAAGUCAAAAGGGAAAUUAGAAAGUAUUUUGAACUGAAUAAAUGAAAGUUAACACGUAAAAAUUUGUGGAUGCCAGUAGAGCAGCACUAAAAAGGAAAUUUAUAGAAUUAAAUGCCUAUAUUAGAAAAAGAAGAAAAGUCUCAAAUCAAUAACCUCAGCUUCUAUGUUUAGAAACCAGAAAAGAAGAGCAAAUUAAACCAAAAGUAAGCACAAGAAAGGAUAUAAUUAGGAUCAUAAUAGAUACCAAUGAAAUGUAAAAAUAAAGAAAAACAACGAAGCCAAAAGAUGAGUUUUUUGAGAAGAUUAAUAAAAUGGAUAAACUUCUAGCCAGAAUGAUCAGAAACAAUGAGAAAAAAACACAAGGUAAGAAAAUUAGGAAGGAGAGAGGUGACAUCAGUACAGACUCUAUAGAUAUAAAAAGGGUAAUAAGAGAAAAUUAAUAAUUUUAUGCCAAUGAAUUCAACAAUUUAGGGCUUCAUGCAGGGUUGCAAUGGCUCAAGUUCACUCUUACUUUCUGUAGCCUCUAGGGCCUGCAUCUAGGGUGACCAACUAUCCUGGUUUGCCUGGAAUGAGGGAUCUCCUGGGAGAUGGGACUUUCAAUGCUAAAACUAGAACAGUUGGUCAUCCUAAGUGGCAUCCCUCUUGUAAUUCCACUCUUCCCUCUUUUCUCUUCCCAGUCGGUCACCCGGAAGCCACAAUGGCCCACAGGGGGAUGCCACCUACCAGGCUUGACCCUGUCCUUGCGCUCUCUGGGUCACCUAAGUGGGCAAGGGUCUUUGCUUGACCUCCUCUCCAUGCUGGCCCUGCAGGUCAAAGGCACAGUCUUGUGGGGGCUUUCUGGGACCAUGCUACAAAUACCCCCUAAUUAAUCAGUCCUUGCUUUGGGCCCAGGCUGCUCUGCAGGGGUUGCUAGGUUCUGGAAAACAGCUCCUUGGGAGGCAUUAAAGAAGUGACUCCCAAUUUCCAGAAUUGGAAGUGGCUUUGAAGGUAUUAUUGGUCUUGUCCUGGCCCACCUCCAUCCCCUCCCUCAUUAACCAUUGAGCCUGAGGGAUGACCUCCUUUCUUUUAAAACUUUUCAGUGUUUCUGCCUCUCUCUGCCCUAUCUGAGACCACUGAGGCACUCUGGAAAGUCAGACUUUAUAGCCAUCCCUGAGCCUAUACCACCACCCUCACUCAAGCACCCUCCAUGGCUCACUACUGUCUAAAGAAUAAAAUAUGGUUUCAUGAUACCAAAGUUCAAGGUCUCGUAUGAUCCAGGUCCAUACUUCAGGCAAUGCUCUGUGCCCUGUAGGUUUCUGACUCUGACCUUUGCUUUAUUUCUAUUUCUCAGAAUUCCAUCUCCUCUAGCUCCUCAAGUACAAAUCCAACACUUCUCUUUGUGCUCACCUUAAAUGCCACCUCCUCCAGGAAAUCUUCUCAGAUGCCCACAGCUGGAAGUGUGGUCUUUUUCUCUGAAUCAACUUUGUCUGUGAUUCUUGGCACUCUGUGCUGUGUGUGGGAGUUAUUCAUGCACAGAAGUUCUCUUCACUCCUAGGUUCUAAUUGGUACUUGACAGCAGCUUCCCCAUCGCCCAACCCUUGCCUAGGACUAGCCGAGCCAUGACCUGGCCCCAUAAUCUACCCUCAAGAAUUCUGUUUCAGCCAUCAUAAAUGGCUUGUCAGUCCCCCCAUGGAGCUGUACUUUCUCACUUAAGAUUCUAGGCUUUUGCCCAUGCUAUUCCCCACCUGCCAUUCUCUUCCUCCAGAGCUGCGUGGGAACUCAGCCAUUGAUUUGCAACCUCAAGUUUCCUUCCCAGGCUCCCACCCAGUGCCAUGGAGCACUUGCUACCCUGCACUCUCCUGUCUUUGCAUCUCUGUCCCCCCAGUACACUGGUGGCACCUUUCAUAUGCCCCAUCUUCAUCUCCCUGAUGCCCAUCAGAGGACCUGGCCACCCAGGGAGCACCAGCAAAUAUUUAUUGAGCAAAUGAUUGUGCUGAUGACAGGAAGCUCACCACCUCCAAAAGCCUGUCCCAAUUUACUUCAUCCUGAGCCAACAGCUGGUUCAUGUUGCCAUGUGACCUUGGAAAGUCACUUUCUCUCUCUGGAUCUUCAGUUUGUGCAUCUGUAAAAUGAGGGAGUUGGAUCUGAUAGAAAAGGAAGGUACUGCCAGGUUCCCCCUUUUCCAAUCCCAGUUCAAUGACAUUAAGUUUUUAACCUAAAAUUUCCAAUAUUGUUUGUCUGGCCUCCUUAAGUGGCCCAUGAAGGUAUCCUUCACCUCCAGCCUGAGCCCAGCACCAGGCUGGGUGCCCCCAGAGCCCCAAUGACCACCAGUUGAAUAAGUAUCAGACCACUCAGGGGUCCAGGAUCUCUCCUACUGCAAGCAGGGUGAGAAUCCAUGCAACAUGCAUGCCAGACACAGCCAUUGUCCCCCAGGUACCGCCUGGAUGUGUCCAAGUGAUCCUUUCUAACCCUCCUGGCUCACUCAUAAGCUCCCAACUCAAGAUGUUCUUUACUGCCCCUGAGCAAUAAAGCCAUCGCCUUUCUGAGAGAGAAGGCCAUCAGCUCCCAUAGUGAAAAGAUACAGCAGGCAAGUUCUCCCAGCCCUAGGGGAGAUCCUGAUUGGAAAGAUGACCCAAGCAUCCUGCUAUGAUGGGGAAGGUCCAGAUGAAGGGAGCCCUUGUUCUGUAGGGCAGGAGAUGUGUGUAUUCAGUGUGUGCUUUAGUGUCCCCUCAGCCCGAGAUGGAGCCCCAGCUCUGCCCUUAACCACCUGCAGCAUCUUGAACAUGGGCCUUAAUUUCUCAGGCUUCACCUGUCAAAGUGGAGUGAAAAGCCUGCCAAUUUCAAAGGGCUCUUGUGAGGGUUAAAUGGAAUAAACAAUUUUAAGAUCUGAUAUAUAGGUUACUUUUCAUUUUACUUCACUUUUGAUUCCUUCAAUCAUAUUGCCUGACUUUUCUCACAUUUCCAUUCCCUCCCCUUACCUUGUUAUGCCGCAUGAGGCUGUUAAUGAAACAGAAACCAAUCCCUUCACGCCAUCUCUUGCACAUGGUAGACAUUCGUGAACACUGGAUGAAUGAAUAACUCCCCAGUCACACCUGGGAGGAAGCAUGAAAUUGCCCCCGUCCUCCUCCAGGUAUCAUCUGAGUAGUAAUAAUUCGUUCCAUGGUUUUCAAUAGAUCUAGAGGUCCUACUAUGUGAUGUUAAUUAAUUUCACCCCCAAACAACCCUGUCCAGUGAGCAUGGUGCGGCCCCAAAUGGACACCAAGAGGACUCAGUCCCAAACCGGUAAGUGACCAGGCUGUCACUCAAAUCCUAGUCCUUCAAAUCCACACUUUUAAUCACUGCCUGCAGCACCUUGAAAAAGAUUUAUCAUCUUUCCAUCUCAGAAGUUAUGCACCUACAUUAAUGUAAACUCAGAAAAGAUAGAAUAGAAAGCAUAAAAGUUUAACUGCCAAAAGAUAUCCUGAAUUUAAUACUUUGGAAUAUUUUUUCAGACCUCUUUUUCUACACGUAGAUUUCAUGGGUUGGGUCUUGUGUGUGUGUGUGUGUGUGUGUGUGUGUGUGAAUGUGUGUGUGUUUAGGCCCAUAAUCAUACAGUAUAAGGAGGUGUGUAUCCCCACUUAUUCUGUUGAAAGCAUUUUCUCCUUCUUAUAUACUCUCUGUAUCCAUCACUGUAAUAUUUCCAUCAAAUGGCCAUAUUAUAAUUUACUUAUUAUCUCGCUAUUGUUGAGAUCUUGGGUGGCUUAUCUGUUUUUACUAUUAUAAAUAAUACCUUGCCAAAUAUCUUUGUGCACAGAGCUUUCAGAUUAUUUUCUUAAGCUAAUUUUAUUUCUUUCCUUAGUCUAGUUUUCUAGAAGGAUGAGGUAAAUCAGUCAAAGAAAAUGAGCAUUUGUAAGGAUCUUGAAAAAUAUAGUGCCAAUGUAUUUCCCCAAAGAUUUUCAUGUAAAAAAAAUAAAAAUAAAAAAAAAUAAAGUGGGGAGUAAAAGACCAAAGGAAGAUGGAUAGUCCCUGGACAGCUGAUAGCCACAGACAAGAGCAAACAGGGUGUGCCAGCAAAAAAGCUUCAUCAUGGACUGGAGUUAUUCAUGGACCAAUAGCAAGAAACAAAAAGAUGUUUUCUUACUUCUCAGAAAGGAAAAAAAAAACAAAAAUAAAUACUGCAUGUGGAUUAGUGAAAUAAAGAUAUUUUCAAUCACUCUAAAAGCACAAUAAGUGUGCUUGCUUAAAAAAUAACACAAGGAAAUCUACCCUAACCAUACAAAUCUCCCAGCCUUUUCCAGUCAGCCACAGCUCUGUGCUUUGAUAAGCAAGGUUUGGGUUGCAACGUUGGGUCUGUCAUUGAAUAGCCUUGCAUCUGGUGGCCUCUCUGCACCUUGAUUUACCGAUCUGCCAUACCUACCUCUCAGGAACUUUUAUGAGGCUACAUAAGCUUAUGUACAUGAAAAUCCUUUGUAAGAUUUCAAUCACUUAUAUGACUUGCUGGUCAAAAGCUAAUGUCCUAUUCAUUAUCAUUCAUGGGACAAGGACCCUCACGGCUCUACAGAAGGCAUCCCAGCCUAGUUUCUCAAUGUGUUUUCAAUUUUUUAAAUUUAUUUUUAAAUGUUUGAGAGAAGGAGAGCAUGAGCAGUGGAGGGGCAGAGAGAGAUGGGGACAGAGAAUCUGAAGCAGACUCCGUGCUGACAGCAGAGAGCCUGAUGUGGGGCUCGAACUCACAAACCGUGAGAUCAUAACCUGAACCGAAGUCAUACGCUUAACUGACUGAACCCCUCAGUCGUCCCUCGAAAUGUUUUCAGUAUGCCAGUAUACUUUAUGUAGUUCCUUUAAAUUAAGCUUAUAUAAAUUCCCAGAAGUGACAGAUGCUCAAAUUUUACUGGAAAACUUAAAUUGUGUAAACUAAGGCACCACUUCUGUAUCAUGAAUCUGGGCACGUGCACCCUAUGCCCCGUGUCCCCCAUUUCCACCAUCAAAAAAAAAUGGUGCUGGCUCUGAUGCAUCCUAAAGCCGAGCUGACUUAGCCACUGAGGACCUCAGAACCCCCUCCAGGACCCCCCACAACCCCGAGUCAGCCCUGGAGGCAAGACCACAGACUGGGACCAUUCCAUUCAGUUCAACCGUGCUAGAAAGUGGGCCCAGCUUGAAAGUGAUCUUCCUUCCACUCCAGAGGGUUAUCCCAGAAAACUGUUUGGUUCCCUUGACCAUGAAACCCUUAGAAGACUCUGGGGUUUAAUAUUUUAAGCUUUCACACCUCUUCCACCUUGGCUUCCAGCUGUUGCCUUCACAUCCACCUCCCUAGGCAGGUAGGGAAACAACAGGUGCGAAGAGCCAGGAAGGCACCUCAGGUCAUCUGGUUCUUCCUUUUGAUUUACAGCUGAAGGAUCAGGGUGCAGAGAAGAGCUGUCACACUGCCCUUCCCAUCACCCCAAUACUAAGUAUGAAGUUUCCUGAGCUUAUCAUUCUCCAACUAGAGUGUAUGUCAGAAGCAGAGAGGAAGAGGUUAAGUGCACAAACUCCUAGGCCCAACCCCACACCUACUAUGUUAGACUCUCUGAACAUGGGGCCCAGGAAUCUGCCUUUUUAGCCAGCUGCCCGGUAACACAGAUGCACCCCAAAGUUGGAAAACUCCUGAAUGGAAAAUAGGCCCGGAAGACCCACUUGCCAAUCAGUGUCUGGAGCCCUAAGUCAUGCAGCUGACGGCCCUAAUUUAGCUCCUCCCUGGUACUGCUUCACCCCCUUCCCACCUCCUUAAGCAUGCACAAAAGCACACACAUUCACCGCACUGGGCCUAGUGAUGGCUGGGGAUGGAAGUAAGCAGGCAAGUUCAAAAUCCCAUGCACAAUGUGACCACCAACAGAUGGUCAGCAGCUUUGGGAGAAGCUCUCUGGCUUCGGAAGUAAACCGUGGGCAGCCGGAGAAGGGCUGAAAAUACACCCAGUUCCUUCUGACAACAGCAACUCACCUGCUGGAAGACGCCAGCUCAAUGGGCUAUGGCAUUCCCAUGGAAUUUAAUAGCCUGUCCUGCCCAUUAAUUUCUUCCAGAAGGCACUCCCUAAUGGGAACUACAUUGAUCCCUGAUGAGUCAUUCAUUGGCCAGUAAACUUUAUAAGCAGCCCAAGCCACCCAGCCCCAAACAUCCAGCACAUGACAGUGGGGCCAUCAGGCUCUGUCAUGGGGACUUCGGGAACUUAGAGUCUGCAGAUAGCCCCAGACGUGGUUUCAGGGCUGGGAAAUUAAACAUAUGAGCCCCAUUAAUGUGCUUAUUCCCCCAGAGAAGACUGAAUCCUGUCUGGGGGUGCUGGGAAGGGGUUAUACAUCCCUCCCUGAAUGGUCAGGAGUGAUGGUCAGACAAACAGCAUUACACGUGUCCAUGUAUUACUUGAGGUCCUUGUAUUUCCAUGUUAGGCUGGAAUGUUCUUCCAAGUUCUGCUGUUAAUUUCUGCUUAGAUUUUCCAACAUGGAAUGAACCUGUCUCUCUCUCUCUCUCUCUCUCUCUCUGUCUGGCUCUCUCUCUCUCUCUCUCUCACACACACACAGAGAGAGAGAGAGAGAUUGAGAGAGAGAGAGAGAGAGAGAGAGAGAAAGCUGUGUACCUACUGUAGAAUCUGUCACUCCCAGUAAAGGCUAAGUGGGGUAGGCUAGUUAGGGCUUUGAGUGAGGAAUCCAGGAAUAACCCAGAGAACUGAAGUCUAGCCCCACCUCUGCAGCCCACUCUUAUGACCACAGGAAAAUCACUUGGCCUUUCUGGACCUCAGUUUUUCCACCCUUCAAACAGGUUGGACUACAUUAAUGGUUCUCUACCGAGCUGCAGGAUUAGAAUCCUCUAAGGGGCAUUUGGGCCCCACGCCAGAGCAACUGAAUCCUGAUCUCUGAGGUGAGCCCAGGGCAUCUGUGGUUCACACCAGCACCCUUGGGGAAUUCUGAUGCAGGGUGUGGGUUGAAAACCCCCACCCUGGGUGAUCCAGUUCCGCUAUUCAGUUAAGUCCACCAUUUAUCAAGGAAGAGACAAGGCCGAGAGAAGAUGGAGUAGCUGCCUUUCUUUGGAUUCCCAGGAAGAGAGGCCAAGGGCGGAAAGGCUCAAACUGUGCCAUCUGGGACUCAAUUUAAUUUAGGAAUUUCCUGAAUAGAAAGAAAAGGAUGUUCUGAAUAUAAAAUCAGACAAAGAAAGCCCUGGGCUUGAAGCUUUUUAGCAGAAACAUGCUGCCAAGGGACAGGAAGAGAUUACUGUUCGUGGGGUGCAGCCUGGAGUCCAGGAUGAGCUGGGAGCCUUGGAGGACCCCAAGUUGUCCAGCGAUCACAGGGAGACCUCCCUCCUUCACCCUGGGCCUGAUGAUGCUCUUGGAGCACUUCCUCAGGCCUCACGGGCAAGUCCAGGUUCAGCCUUUUGCAGGCACAGACAAGUCCCUUCUCUCUGCACCUCAUAUGCUCCUCUGUAAAAUGAGGAGGGUAAGAGUUAAAUCAAAUACCCUACUCCUCAACUCUAUGUCACACACCGACAUCUCUGAAAUUAAGGGGCUCUUACAGUCAAUGGCUUCUUACCAUUAGCUGCAGCAUACCGUCUGCCAAAGUAGUAUGCAAACUAACGCGCAUACAGUGGUGAAAUAUGGCAAUAUCUCUGGUCCCUUCCACUUCAAACAUUCUAAAAAUUCUGAUUCCAUGACUCUGUGGCCUUGGGUCCAGAUCAACCCUAUGGAGAAGCCCGGAUUCCUGCUAGUUCUUUGUCAUUCGGUGUUAUCCAGGGACCAGCAGCAUCAGCAGCAUGAACACAUCAGAAACACCAGCUGGUCAGGAGCGCAGUCUCAGGCCCCACCUCAGUCCUGCUGAACCAGAACCUGCGUUUUAACAAGAGCCCCUCAUGAUCCUAGGCACAUUAAAGUUUAAAGUCCGUGGUGAGGGGUGCCUGGGUGGCUCAGCUGGUGAAGCAUCCUACUUCAGCUCAGCUCAGGUCAUGAUCUCAUGGUUCAUGAAUUCGAGCCCCGCGUUGGGCUCUGUGCUGACGGCUCAGAGCUUGGAGUCUGCUUCCGAUUCUGUGUCUCCCUCUCUCUCUGCCCCUCCCCCGCUCGUGCUCUCUCGUUCAAAAAUAAACAUUUAAAAAAUGUUUUAAAAACAUAAAUAAAUAUAAAUAAAUAAAUACAGACCAUGGUGAUACUUCACCCUCCACCCAACACACACACACACACACACACACGCACACACACAUCUGUUCACCAGGAACACUCAGCCAGAGCCUCACUAUAAAUAACUUCCGGGAGCUCCAGUUCAUUUCGCGCUUACAUACCCUUCCAUAUGAAGCAGUUUGAAGCCUCAGAUAGGAAGGCAGACUCUGUGAGGAUAUAGGGACAUACUGUUCCUUUAAGAGCCAGAGGUGGGCAGGUAGAUAAUGGCAGUUUCUUAAAGAGCACAAUCACGGUGGGGUCUGCAUCCCUUCACUCCCUCUUCCUAACCACAUGACACCUGUUGUGCCCCUCCCCUUCCUGGGCCUCACCCUGGGAAGCCUCCUCAGCCCUUACACAGAGAACCCAUCACUUUGGACCCCUGACACUCACCUGGCCUAGUCCUGGCUGCUUGUCUCUGCCCCUGGACCACGACUUGACAUCUGCAUUUCCCGUCUUCCUUGUGACCUGCUUAUGUCCAGCCUGGAAGGACUCCAGGGCCCACAUUCAUUCAUCCAUUAACUCAACAAGUAUCUGCACAUCUUGGGAACCCACAGAUGUUUACCAAUGGCCUCACCCCUGGGAAGCUCACAGUCUGGUGAGGCCAACCAACGUGGGAACCUCGUGAUAAUGUGCUAGGAGAGGCAAAGCAUGGGGUACUAGUAGUAGGGGUAGGAGUAGGAGUAGGGGUAGGAGUCCAGAAGAGGGGUGCUCACUCAAACUGCAAGGCCAAGGAAGGCUGCCUGGAGGAGUUGCUAUUGGAGGGACUGUUAAACAUUAGCUGGGUGAAAAGAGGGAGGAAAGGCCAUCAGGCAUCAUGAACAGCCUAAGAAAAGGCGCAGAGGCAAGAACCAGCUUGUGAGCCAUUCUUACUGCAGAGCAUAAAGUCGGGAUCAGGAAGUGGAGAGAAGAAGAGGCUGGGAAACAGGCAAGGCUGGAUCAAGCUGGACCUGGCAAGCCAGGUUAAGCUUUUGGACUUUCAUCUUAGGAGUUGGCUCUUCCCCAAUUUCUGUCAUGCCGCCAUGCAAAAAAAAAUUAACGAGAGCCUUCAGGGGUAGCUACAAUAGGUGAAGUUGGGGUUCAUGAAGAACCACCAGGAAGGCUCUGUUCCCAAAGCCCCUGAGGCCUUUGGGACAGAUAGAAAGAUAUCAGAUCAAGGCACAUGAGUAGCUCAGUCCGUUGAGGGUCCACCUUCAGGUCAGGUCAUGAUUUCACAGUUCAUGGGUUCGAGCCCCUCAUUGGGCUCUCUGCUAUCAGCACAGAGCCCACUUGGGAUCCUCUUUCCCUCUCUCUCUCUCUCUCUCUCUGCCCCUCCCCCGCUCAUUCUCUCUCCCUAUCUCUCUCAAAUAAAUUUUUUAAAAAAGAUAUCAGAUCAUAGAAAGAGAAAUGGUGGCCCAGGACAAAGUACCCAGUGAUCAAGGGAAGUGCUACUGGAGCCAAGAAGAAGGAGAAGGAGGGAUUAGCCAGGACUGCUUCCUGGAGGAGGCAAGACUUGAAAUGCAAAUGAGCAAACUUAGCCAUAACAAAGGGCUGCAAAGUAGACAAGGAUGUGGGAAGUUCUCAGAAGACUUGCUGACCUCAGGUGGCCCUUAGGAAACCAGAAGUGCUCUUGGGAAUGAGUAGUCCUGGGGCAGGACAGGAAAAUACUCGGCAACUGAGCCAAUUAAUAGGUGAGGAGCCGCCCUGGGGUCAGAGUGAGUCAGUUGGCAGGAACUGAGUGGGGGAUGCCCAAGGAAUCCUUCUGCAGGAAGCCAUGGGGGACCAAAUCCCACAUGCUCAAGGCCAGGCAUUUGGCAGAGAGGGGCUUCCAGCUUCAUAAACGUCCACUGAAUUCUCACUAUUUUUAGCUGUUGAACCCAUGAAGGUAACUGAGAGGCUCCUGGCUGGCUUGGGCAGAAAAGCAUGUGACACUUGAUCUCCGGGUCACGAGUUCAAGCCCCACAUUGGCCAUGGAGCCUACUUUAAAAAAAAAAAAAAAGCUACAAAGACAUAGACAUCAAUAAUAAAGAGAACCAAAGAUGAAAACCACACCAAUGAAGGUAACUGGAUUAGACACAGUUGGCUUCAGCAGUGAACUCUGAGAGCAUGCUGGGAGGGAGGCAGCCACCCAGAGCCACCCUGGGAAAUGCAGAAAGGAGAGCCCUGACCCGAAUGCCAACACGGACGGGUUCUGUGAAGGGGGAAACUUGCCCAAGGCCACAUGCCCCAUGACAGCAGAGCUCCCUGAGCCUGCUAACGGCGUGGCUUGAAGAGUGCUGAGAAUUCCUGCCCCCCACUCCUCACCUGCCCUGGCAUCAGAGCAUCCUUGUCCCAAGUAGCAAGCCUCCAGAGGGCCUCGCUCCCCGUGCCAUGCCCAUCUCUCAUCGGGGUCAAUAAAAGGGGACAUCCUACCCCAACGUUUGUAUCUGAGUGAUAGCUUAUGAGCACAAUGACUGAAGUCUAAAUAACCAAGCGGUGUUUACUUGAUAAAUGAAGCACCAGCACGCCCGAGAUGCCACAGUUACUAAACCUGCACCAUAAGCUUUUCUGUAAUGAUAAAUUCUCUCUGGCAUCAGGCAGAGCUGAAAGCCACAGGCACCCCUGAGGACAUUCUUCUGAAGAAUUGUGGCUUGCACAGACACAGCUCAGGAAAAACUCUGAGUAUUGAUUUCCCUCACGUGACUGCGCUGUGCUCGUGGUAAAAUUAUAGAAUCCUGGAACACUGAAGCUGGGAAGGCCCAAAGAGACCACCAAGGGCAAGCUGCCUCUCAGAUUCGCUUUUGGAGAAACUGAGGCCCAGGGAGGGAAAGUUGCAAUGGUAACCAUCUCGGCUAUCACAGAGCCAAGAGUUCCGUUAGCAGAGCCCAGCCUUGUGCCAGCUUUGGCAAAGAGAAAUCUGUCUCCUGCUGACUCCCUCCAAAAAGCUCAAAGGCUAGUAGGAGGUGGGCAUGUCAGCCAAUAACUACAAUAAAGUGUUGCAGGUGCUGGGAUAAAACCCAAGCCUGGACACCGCGGUCCAAAGGCAGAAGGAAUGGAUGGAGAAGUCUUCUUGGCAGAGGGGCACAAGCUGAGCCUUACAAGCCAAUGAGGUGGUUGCAGACCAAGGAGCAGGAAGAACCAUCCAGGUAGGGAGGCAGAAAAACAAAUGUGGAGAGGCCAAGGGAACCGAUGGUUUGGGGGAAGGCAAGAGGAGAGGUGAGGCAGUGCAGCAGAGCGAGCAGGGCCUCGGGAAGAAAAGGAGCUUGGAUUUCAUCAGGGAAGAUGGUGACACGGCUGAGUUCACAUUUUAGGAAGGUCAGGCCGGAGUCAGACGGGAGGCAGGAGGAGCAGUCAGGAGACUGUUGCAAUGGUGCAGGAGGGGGCUGGUGAUGGUCUCAACUUGUGGAGAAGAGGGGACGCUUGCAUGGACUGGCGAGAUGGAGUCAGACUUCUCACCCAUCCAGCGGAGGCUGAGGGAGAGGGGGAGGUCCAAGUCUUUUUAUAGAAAGACCAUGACCUUCCCUCCAACUCCCAACAGGGACAAUUCAUAAGGUCUAAAAUUAAGGAUUUGGCUUUCCAGUGUUCUUCAAGUGAUAGCUGGAUGUCCACAUAGCAGCCAUCAGAAGUGAGUUAUAAUGUAUUAUCUGGUUAGUAGAAGCCACCCACCUAACUUAGGAUAAACUGCCACCUGGGAUUUCCUUACAUUUGAGGAUUUGAGUUCUGCUACAUCAGGUAUUGCCUGCCAUAGGCAUGAGAGGCUAACUGCCAUAAACCACUCUUGAAUCAGGGCACCUGGGUGGCUCAGUCAGUUGAGCAUCUGACUUCAGCUCAGGUCAUGAUCUUGCAGUCCGUGAGUUCGAGCCCCGUGUUGGGCUCUGUGCUGACAGCUCAGAGCCCGGAGCCUGCUUCAGAUUCUGGGUCUCCCUCUCUGCACCUCCCCCACUGACACUCUGUCUCUCUCAGAAAUAAAUAUUUAAAUUUUUUUUAAAAUCCCCUCUUAAAUCUGAGGGGUUUGACACAAUAGAUGUUUAUUCCUUGCCCACACUACAGCCCAGCUCUGCUCCAUACUGUUCUUUAGGGAUCCAGGUUUCUCUCCCCCCACCCCCCGUGAUUCCAUCCUCCUCCGGGGGCAUCUACCCUCAACCACCUCAGCAGAGGAGUCCCACAUCACUUCUACCCACAUCUCAUAGGUGAAAACUAGUCACACGCCCCACCUAGGGGCAAAGGGGGCUGGGAAAGGCAACCCCUACCCACCCCAGGCAGAAGAUCAGAACACCAAUACCUGAGCCCUCACGGUCUCUGCCAUGCUGCCUGGGUGUGUCUGUGCAGUGGAUUCACAGUUUAUCACCUGACAUUUUCUUAGUGAAGAUGCCUGAAUACUCACUGGAGCUCAUCGGAUGGGGCUUGCCCAGCCACCCCUGAUCCAGGGCUGCCGGGAGGUCAGUGAGCACACAUCGUGUCCUGCAUCCCGUGCCCUGGCCUCUCCAUCCUGAAAAGAAGGUUCAGCCCCCCACCUGCCAACUUCCCCAAUGCCAGGAGCUCUCUGUUUUCCACGUGUUCCUCCUGAUAGAUAGCUCUUCCCUUCCGCGCCCGCAGGAGACAGAGGCUCUAAGGCAGUUGUCAAGAAUUACCACAGCCCAGAGAAAGGACCUAGAGAACGAAAGUGAUUCAUCAAGAAGACGUAUAAGCCGAUUGGGCAACUUGUGAUCGGAGCUGCUUAGCUACCCAAAGGGAUAGCAGGAUAAAUUACUGCCAGAAGAAUUAACAAUUACAGCCUUGGCAUCUUACAUUGUGAAGUCAUUCCAAUCACCUGUCACCGGGCUUUUAAAGUUUAGGGGGAAACCUUUGGGGGUGCCUGACUCUGCAUUCAUAUCUUGCCUUGAACAACUGAAGGAUGGGCUCCCCAGGCAGGAUGGUGAGAGAGAUAUUUAUAAAUGAAAUCUUCUCCGUGGG
rnacentral:lncRNA from 1 species